rnacentral:rRNA from 1 species
AGAGUUUGAUCCUGGCUCAGAACGAACGCUGGCGGCGUGGAUAAGACAUGCAAGUCGAACGGGAAAACUGAUUAGUUUACUAAGAUGUUUUCUAGUGGCGGACGGUGAGUAACAUGCCUUGAAGUGGGGGAUAGCCUUUCGAAAGGAAGAUUAAUACCGCAUGUGGUCACCCUUAAAAGGGCGGACCAAAGAUGCCUUCGGGUGUCGCUUUGAGAUUGGCUCGCGGCCUAUCAGCUAGUUGGUGAGGUAAAGGCUCACCAAGGCAACGACGGGUAGCUGUUCUGAGAGGAAGAUCAGCAACACUGGAACUGAGACACGGUCCAGACACCUACGGGUGGCAGCAGUCGAGAAUCAUUCACAAUGGGGGAAACCCUGAUGGUGCAACGCCGCGUGGAGGAUGAAGGCCCUAGGGUCGUAAACUCCUGUCAUAUAAGAGUAACGUUGUACAGUUAAUAACUGUGCAAUUUGAUAGUAUCUGAAGAGGAAGGGACGGCUAACUUCGCCAGCAGCCGCGGUAAUACGAAGGUCCCAAGCGUUGUUCGGAAUUACUGGGCGUAAAGCGUGUGUAGGCGGCGGGGUAAGUCAGAUGUGAAAGCCCGGGGCUCAACCUCGGAACUGCAUCCGAUACUGCCUUGCUAGAGUAGUGGAGGGGAGACUGGAAUUCACGGUGUAGCAGUGAAAUGCGUAGAUAUCGUGAGGAACACUAGUGGCGAAGGCGAGUCUCUGGACACUUACUGACGCUCAGACACGAAGGCUAGGGUAGCGAAAGGGAUUAGAUACCCCUGUAGUCCUAGCAGUAAACGGUGCGCGCUUGGUGUGGGAGGAUUCGACCCCUUCCGUGCCGGAGCUAACGCGUUAAGCGCGCCGCCUGGGGAGUACGGCCGCAAGGCUAAAACUCAAAGAAAUUGACGGGGACCCGCACAAGCGGUGGAGUAUGUGGCUUAAUUCGAUGCAACGCGAAGAACCUUACCUGGGCUUGACAUGCUUAUCAUAUCCCUGUGAAAGGCGAGUGGAGCAAUCCACAAUUCGCACAGGUGCUGCAUGGCUGUCGUCAGCUCGUGUCGUGAGAUGUUUGGUUAAGUCCAGCAACGAGCGCAACCCCUGUGUCCUGUUGCCAGCACGUAAUGGUGGGGACUCUGGACAGACUGCCCAGAUCAACUGGGAGGAAGGUGGGGACGACGUCAAGUCAGUAUGGCCCUUACGCCCAGGGCUGCACACGUACUACAAUGCCCAGUAUAAUGAGAACCGAGACCGCGAGGUGGAGGAAAUCCUUAAAACUGGGCCCAGUUCGGAUUGGGGGCUGCAACUCGCCUCCAUGAAGCCGGAAUCGCUAGUAAUGGCGCAUCAGCUACGGCGCCGUGAAUACGUUCCCGGGUCUUGUACACACCGCCCGUCACAUCAUGGAAGCCGGCCGCACCCGAAGUGCGUGCGCUAACUUUUAGAGGCAGCGCCCUAAGGUGUAGCUGGUAACUGGGAUGAAGUCGUAACAAGGUACGUAGGGGAACCUGCGGCUGGAUCACCUCCUU